rnacentral:rRNA from 1 species
ACAUCCCUACGGGAGGCAGCAGUGGGGAAUAUUGGGCAAUGGGCGCAAGCCUGACCCAGCAACGCCGCGUGAAGGAAGAAGGCUUUCGGGUUGUAAACUUCUUUUAUGAGGGACGAAACAAAUGACGGUGCCUCAUGAAUAAGCCACGGCUAACUACGUGCCAGCAGCCGCGGUAAUACGUAGGUGGCAAGCGUUACCCGGAUUUACUGGGUGUAAAGGGCGUGUAGGCGGGACUGCAAGUCAG